rnacentral:rRNA from 1 species
CGGGAACAGCUCAAGCUUGAAAUCGGCAAUUGGAGAACAUAUGUCGAGUUGUAGCUUUUGGAGGCAGUUUCAAGCCAGUGGUUGUGGUAAAAGUUCUUUUGAAUAAGACAUCAUAGAGGGUGAGAAUCCCGUCCUUGACCAUGAUUCAAUUGGUGAUGCGAACUGUUUUCUG